UUUCCAAACAGAGGAUUUGGCAGGCAAACAGGGUUAUAAAAGUAGAAUAUAACAAUUGGUCAUAAAAGCCUCUUGUGAAACAAAGACCUGGUCGCAAGGUGGUCUUAACAAGGUAGUCCUAACAAGCUGGUCAUGACAGCAGGUAGUCAUAAAAGAGUGGCCAUAACAAUCUCAGGGUUGCUGUUUUCUGGAACAGGCAGUACAAAUCCAUUUGUAGUCAAGGUUACGUGGUGCAGAGCAGAAUCCUUGAGAAACUGGUUUAAUCAUAAACAGGAAAGAGCCUAGUGUGUCUUUACCAAGAGAUGGUUUUCAAGCCUAGGGUGGAGGCAGCUGGUUCACUAUAUUGUGAGACCCUGGAUGCUACUUAAUCUUUUUUGCUUUUAACCAACAUCUUCCUGUCCAGUAGCAGGGAGCACAAGGGCUUCAUGGGUGAUGAAUGUUUUCAGCUUCCCGUAGAUUCCGCCAAAGUCAUCUCAGCAAAUGUAGAACAAACAGGUGCUCCUGAGUGGAGCUGAACUCCGUUCUAGAUCCUACUGACCUCGCUGUAAUGGUCGGCCUGGAGCGCGGGCAGCUUCCUUCAGGUGAGAGACGGACGGAUAGAAGAGCCGUUCCACCACAGUAUAGCUUAAUCUUAGUUUUCAGCUUUAUUGGAUCUGGAAUGAACUAGAAGACUGGCCUCGUGGCUGGAGAGAUGGCUCAGCGUUAGAGCAUUUGCUGCUCGUCUGAAGGACCCCGGCUGAGUUCCCAGCACUCAGGUCAGACAGCGCACAGUUGCCUGUAACCCUAGCACCAGGCUAUCCAUCUCUUUAAUUGUCUCAGUGUGCACAUACAUACAUGUAACAUAUGCACACAGACACACACACAAGGGGAGGGAGAGAUAAAAAUGGAGAAGGAGUUAAGGAGAGCAGGCUUUGGGGAUUUUCUUAAUUAGGUUACUAGGGUGGGAAGUCGAAGUCUAACUUUGGGUGUUCUUCCCAGGGGCAGCACAGAUCUAAGGAGAACAGAGGGGAGAGGUUUCAGGUUUCACUUUCUGCCUUGCUCGCCUGCACAUCU
rnacentral:lncRNA from 1 species